rnacentral:rRNA from 1 species
UAAGCGACUAAGCGUACACGGUGGAUGCCCUGGCAGUCAGAGGCGAUGAAGGACGUGCUAAUCUGCGAUAAGCGUCGGUAAGGUGAUAUGAACCGUUAUAACCGGCGAUUUCCGAAUGGGGAAACCCAGUGUGAUUCGUCACACUAUCAUUAACUGAAUCCAUAGGUUAAUGAGGCGAACCGGGGGAACUGAAACAUCUAAGUACCCCGAGGAAAAGAAAUCAACCGAGAUUCCCCCAGUAGCGGCGAGCGAACGGGGAGGAGCCCAGAGCCUGAAUCAGUGUGUGUGUUAGUGGAAGCGUCUGGAAAGGCGCGCGAUACAGGGUGACAGCCCCGUACACAAAAAUGCACAUGCUGUGAGCUCGAUGAGUAGGGCGGGACACGUGGUAUCCUGUCUGAAUAUGGGGGGACCAUCCUCCAAGGCUAAAUACUCCUGACUGACCGAUAGUGAACCAGUACCGUGAGGGAAAGGCGAAAAGAACCCCGGCGAGGGGAGUGAAAAAGAACCUGAAACCGUGUACGUACAAGCAGUGGGAGCCUCUUUAUGGGGUGACUGCGUACCUUUUGUAUAAUGGGUCAGCGACUUAUAUUCUGUAGCAAGGUUAACCGAAUAGGGGAGCCGAAGGGAAACCGAGUCUUAACUGGGCGUUAAGUUGCAGGGUAUAGACCCGAAACCCGGUGAUCUAGCCAUGGGCAGGUUGAAGGUUGGGUAACACUAACUGGAGGACCGAACCGACUAAUGUUGAAAAAUUAGCGGAUGACUUGUGGCUGGGGGUGAAAGGCCAAUCAAACCGGGAGAUAGCUGGUUCUCCCCGAAAGCUAUUUAGGUAGCGCCUCGUGAAUUCAUCUCCGGGGGUAGAGCACUGUUUCGGCAAGGGGGUCAUCCCGACUUACCAACCCGAUGCAAACUGCGAAUACCGGAGAAUGUUAUCACGGGAGACACACGGCGGGUGCUAACGUCCGUCGUGAAGAGGGAAACAACCCAGACCGCCAGCUAAGGUCCCAAAGUCAUGGUUAAGUGGGAAACGAUGUGGGAAGGCCCAGACAGCCAGGAUGUUGGCUUAGAAGCAGCCAUCAUUUAAAGAAAGCGUAAUAGCUCACUGGUCGAGUCGGCCUGCGCGGAAGAUGUAACGGGGCUAAACCAUGCACCGAAGCUGCGGCAGCGACACUAUGUGUUGUUGGGUAGGGGAGCGUUCUGUAAGCCUGCGAAGGUGUACUGUGAGGUAUGCUGGAGGUAUCAGAAGUGCGAAUGCUGACAUAAGUAACGAUAAAGCGGGUGAAAAGCCCGCUCGCCGGAAGACCAAGGGUUCCUGUCCAACGUUAAUCGGGGCAGGGUGAGUCGACCCCUAAGGCGAGGCCGAAAGGCGUAGUCGAUGGGAAACAGGUUAAUAUUCCUGUACUUGGUGUUACUGCGAAGGGGGGACGGAGAAGGCUAUGUUGGCCGGGCGACGGUUGUCCCGGUUUAAGCGUGUAGGCUGGUUUUCCAGGCAAAUCCGGAAAAUCAAGGCUGAGGCGUGAUGACGAGGCACUACGGUGCUGAAGCAACAAAUGCCCUGCUUCCAGGAAAAGCCUCUAAGCAUCAGGUAACAUCAAAUCGUACCCCAAACCGACACAGGUGGUCAGGUAGAGAAUACCAAGGCGCUUGAGAGAACUCGGGUGAAGGAACUAGGCAAAAUGGUGCCGUAACUUCGGGAGAAGGCACGCUGAUACGUAGGUGAAGUCCCUCGCGGAUGGAGCUGAAAUCAGUCGAAGAUACCAGCUGGCUGCAACUGUUUAUUAAAAACACAGCACUGUGCAAACACGAAAGUGGACGUAUACGGUGUGACGCCUGCCCGGUGCCGGAAGGUUAAUUGAUGGGGUUAGCGGUAACGCGAAGCUCUUGAUCGAAGCCCCGGUAAACGGCGGCCGUAACUAUAACGGUCCUAAGGUAGCGAAAUUCCUUGUCGGGUAAGUUCCGACCUGCACGAAUGGCGUAAUGAUGGCCAGGCUGUCUCCACCCGAGACUCAGUGAAAUUGAACUCGCUGUGAAGAUGCAGUGUACCCGCGGCAAGACGGAAAGACCCCGUGAACCUUUACUAUAGCUUGACACUGAACAUUGAGCCUUGAUGUGUAGGAUAGGUGGGAGGCUUUGAAGUGUGGACGCCAGUCUGCAUGGAGCCGACCUUGAAAUACCACCCUUUAAUGUUUGAUGUUCUAACGUUGGCCCCUGAUCGGGGUUGCGGACAGUGUCUGGUGGGUAGUUUGACUGGGGCGGUCUCCUCCUAAAGAGUAACGGAGGAGCACGAAGGUUGGCUAAUCCUGGUCGGACAUCAGGAGGUUAGUGCAAUGGCAUAAGCCAGCUUGACUGCGAGCGUGACGGCGCGAGCAGGUGCGAAAGCAGGUCAUAGUGAUCCGGUGGUUCUGAAUGGAAGGGCCAUCGCUCAACGGAUAAAAGGUACUCCGGGGAUAACAGGCUGAUACCGCCCAAGAGUUCAUAUCGACGGCGGUGUUUGGCACCUCGAUGUCGGCUCAUCACAUCCUGGGGCUGAAGUAGGUCCCAAGGGUAUGGCUGUUCGCCAUUUAAAGUGGUACGCGAGCUGGGUUUAGAACGUCGUGAGACAGUUCGGUCCCUAUCUGCCGUGGGCGCUGGAGAACUGAGGGGGGCUGCUCCUAGUACGAGAGGACCGGAGUGGACGCAUCACUGGUGUUCGGGUUGUCAUGCCAAUGGCACUGCCCGGUAGCUAAAUGCGGAAGAGAUAAGUGCUGAAAGCAUCUAAGCACGAAACUUGCCCCGAGAUGAGUUCUCCCUGACUCCUUGAGAGUCCUGAAGGAACGUUGAAGACGACGACGUUGAUAGGCCGGGUGUGUAAGCGCAGCGAUGCGUUGAGCUAACCGGUACUAAUGAACCGUGAGGCUUAACCU